rnacentral:rRNA from 1 species
UGGGGAAUAUUGGACAAUGGGCGCAAGCCUGAUCCAGCCAUGCCGCGUGAGUGAUGACGGCCCUAGGGUUGUAAAGCUCUUUUGCUCGGGAAGAUAAUGACUGUACCGAGAGAAUAAGCCCCGGCUAACUUCGUGCCAGCAGCCGCGGUAAUACGAAGGGGGCUAGCGUUGUUCGGAAUCACUGGGCGUAAAGCGCACGUAGGCGGACGCUUAAGUCAGAGGUGAAAUCCUGAGGCUCAACCUCAGAACUGCCUUUGAUACUGGGUGUCUCGAGUUCGGGAGAGGUGAGUGGAACUGCGAGUGUAGAGGUGAAAUUCGUAGAUAUUCGCAAGAACACCAGUGGCGAAGGCGGCUCACUGGCCCGAUACUGACGCUGAGGUGCGAAAGCGUGGGGAGCAAACAGG